rnacentral:rRNA from 1 species
UGGGGGAUUUUGCACAAUGGGCGCAAGCCUGAUGCAGCGAAGCCGCGUGAGGGAUGAAGGCCUUCGGGUUGUAAACCUCUUUCGCUGGGUUGAAAGGCCAUGCUUUGGGUGUGGUUGAUUUGAACUGGUAAAGAAGUACCGGCUAACUACGUGCCAGCAGCCGCGGUAAUACGUAGGGUACUAGCGUUGUCCGGAUUUAUUGGGCGUAAAGGGCUUGUAGGUGGUUUGUCGCGUCUGUCGUGAAAUCCUGUGGCUUAACCAUGGGCUUGCGGUGGGUACGGGCAGGCUUGAGUGCGGUAGGGGAGACUGGAAUUCCUGGUGUAGCGGUGGAAUGCGCAGAUAUCAGGAGGAACACCGGUGGCGAAGGCGGGUCUCUGAGCCGUUACUGACACUGAGGAGCGAAAGCGUGGGGAGCGAACAGG